rnacentral:rRNA from 1 species
AGUGAACGCUGGCGGUAGGCCUAACACGUGCAAGUCGAACGGCAGCACAGUAAGAGCUUGCUCUUACGGGUGGCGAGUGGCGGACGGGUGAGGAAUACAUCGGAAUCUACUUUUUCGUGGGGGACAACGUAGGGAAACUUACGCUAAUACCGCAUACGACCUACGGGUGAAAGCAGGGGAUCUUCGGACCUUGCGCGAUUGAAUGAGCCGAUGUCGGAUUAGCUAGUUGGCGGGGUAAAGGCCCACCAAGGCGACGAUCCGUAGCUGGUCUGAGAGGAUGAUCAGCCACACUGGAACUGAGACACGGUCCAGACUCCUACGGGAGGCAGCAGUGGGGAAUAUUGGACAAUGGGCGCAAGCCUGAUCCGGCCAUACCGCGUGGGUGAAGAAGGCCUUCGGGUUGUAAAGCCCUUUUGUUGGGAAAGAAAAGCAGCAGGUUAAUACCCCGCUGUUCUGACGGUACCCAAAGAAUAAGCACCGGCUAACUUCGUG